rnacentral:rRNA from 1 species
CGCUAGCUACAGGCUUAACACAUGCAAGUCGAGGGGCAGCGGGAUUGAAGCUUGCUUCAAUUGCCGGCGACCGGCGCACGGGUGAGUAACGCGUAUCCAACCUUCCGUUUACUCAGGGAUAGCCUUUCGAAAGAAAGAUUAAUACCUGAUAGUAUGGUAAGAUUGCAUGGUAGUACCAUUAAAGAUUCAUUGGUAAACGAUGGGGAUGCGUUCCAUUAGGUAGUAGGCGGGGUAACGGCCCACCUAGCCGACGAUGGAUAGGGGUUCUGAGAGGAAGGUCCCCCACAUUGGAACUGAGACACGGUCCAAACUCCUACGGGAGGCAGCAGUGAGGAAUAUUGGUCAAUGGGCGAGAGCCUGAACCAGCCAAGUAGCGUGAAGGAUGACGG